UUGCUAUGAUGAUGGAUUCCAUACCAUUCGUAGUUUCCACCAGAAACUUCGGUUGAUGAUGGCCAAUCCUUCCUUGGAUGUCUGAGCAA
ensembl:snoRNA SNORD14 Small nucleolar RNA SNORD14